UAAAGUAAUGGUCUUUUGAGA
rnacentral:snRNA from 1 species